GCUUGAUGCACAGAGGAGAACCAUUCCAAUGGAGGGUGUGUGUGGGUGACUGGAAUAAAGGACACAAGGGCUUCCUUUUCUGAGAAAAGACGCUGCCUUGUCAGCCAGAGAUGGUGCCUUGGGAGACCAGUUCCUGAGUGGAUGAAGAGAGAGUUUUGUGCAGGACAUUCCUCUGGGAGAUCACUGGGGAGAUGGGGAUCCCUAAGUUGGCCACCCAGGAGAGAAAAUGCCUGAUGAGGUGCAAAGACAGAGGCUGUGGUCCCCUUCCUGGGGACCUUCUUCAGUGACUUGGUAAUGCUGGACACUGCCCCCUGAAGGACUAUGUGGAUAUGAAUGAGCCUGGGAGUGGUGCAGCGGAAACCAGGAUCCUGAGGCUUGGGAGGAGAGGGCCCUGGACUGAGCCCUUAAAUCUCAGGCCUCACUCGGAAAACAACUUCUCCUGAGAGCCUCGCAUCUGGGCCAGUGAAGGGAGACAUCAGCCCCAAGGCGUCUUUGAGUGAUGGAGGCUCCACAGCAGCUGUCAGACCCUGUCCCUGAGUGAUGACACUGAGGGGCUGCCUGACUGCAAAGCUGCAUGAGGUGUGGGCUGAGCUGACCUCAGCCUUCCUUUUGGGUAGCACCCAUGAAAGAUUGAAACUGGGCCCCUCCAAGGGCAGACUGUUCCUGUGUAGCUGAGCACUUGCUUUCUACACAUGGUCCCAGUUUUUCUGUCAUACAACAGGGCUGGGUGAAAGGUCCCAGAGCCUCAGCAUCCAUGACCCCUCGUCUAGAGACCAAAGCCUAGUGCAGGUCCAAGUCCUGUCAUGUGCACAUGCCCUGGCUCCAGUUGCUCUGGCAGUGGUGCAGCAUGGGGUGGGGCUAGACGGGGCUCCUUGUGGGUCAGGAGGUGACUAGCAAUGAGAAAAACAGGAGGGUGAGCAGCUGGGGGUCUCAUGGUGGGAGAGGAUGGAGACGUGGACAUAGAGACCAUCCAUGGAAACAUCCUAGGGACACCCCGGGCUCCAUCCUCUGCAUCUUAGAUUUAUUGGAAGGUUUUGACACUCAGAGGAGAAGGAGACUGGUGUCAAGGACCAAUUCCUGGAGAAGGGGCUAUUUGCCUCCAACUCUGAGAACAGGCUGGGGCUGCAUAGGAUUGCAGGGGAGAAUGACACCCUCAGGAAAACAGCCCCAGAGAUUGGCCCCUGCUCCCUCCAUCCCCAGGACCCCUCCGGCAUCUUCCACUCAUGCCCUAUCAGCGCCUUUUCCUCUCUCUACCUCUAGGAGGACACUGUCCUCUCUGAGACAAUGGUGCCAAGAACACACAAUGGGGAAAGAACAAUUUAUUUAAAUUAUUUCAGAUGGCUGCAGAAAACUAUCACCUUCAGUCUGAGGAGCAAUUUCUGGCCUGGCUCCAUUCAGUGGAGCAGAUCAGUGAGGAGGAAAGGUGAGGGCUUAGCAAAGGGACAGAGGCAGAGGCUCUCUUGUGGCCAGCUGCAGAGAACUUGUCACCAUGGUGCCCUGAUCUGUGUCAUGUCCUGUUGCAAUGGUGACCACUGGGGCUGCAGGAUUCCACCAAGGCAGGAAAUGGGAGGGAACAUGUAGUGUGGCCCCUGAUGGCCUCACAGCUGCCUCUGUGUCCUGACGGUUGCAGCCCCUAACCUAGUAGGCUAACAACAUUCUAAAGGUCAGAAAAAACAGGCCAUUAUAUGGUGAGGCACAGGUAGCAGGGGUAGAGAGCCUCUGGGCACAGUGAAAUUUGGGCUGAGUAUGUGCUCUGGGAGUCAGAUAGCUGCACUGGGCUCCCAGCUUUGCUACUGCCCAGCCCCGGGACUGGGGUAAA